AUGUUGUCGGCACAUCCUCGUCGCGUUUGGCUCUUGCAGCUCCAAGACCUCCAUCUAUUAUUCCUCCCACAUCCCGUGAUCUCCUUCUUCCAUUCUCUGAAGGCUGGAAGCUGCAGAGUUCAGCUGUGUGGUGCGGAUGCCGUCUGAGUGUGGUGUCUCAUCUUGCACAUUUGGAGAAUCUCAAGAAGAGGGCUGGAAACCUGCCGAGAGCCUGUGCUUCUGAGACCCUCACACCCAUCUGCUAGAUCCAAGCAGUGGAGUGACUUCGGAUGCUUCUGUGCACCCGGUCUCCAGAAACUUUGGGGGCUUGCUCAGCACUCCUGUGCCCCAGGGAUUCCUUGACCCGUAGAACAUUAAGAAGGCGAAUGACACGAGGCUAUACACCUAUGUAGCUGUCUCCCUUCGCCAUCACAGUUUGUAAAGGAAGCUUCCGCCUUUGACAGUAGCAAAGGGAAGCCUCCGAUGAUUCUCUGUGACCUCAGAGGCGAAAGCACUCAAGUUGCCCUUGAAGACAAAAAGAGAAAGUCUUGUCUGAGGUGAAGUCAGUAUCUAUCCAAUUUUCAGCUGCCGUCACAUCGAAAUGAGAAAUCUGAGGCACAGCCAGGCACAAAUGGCUGAUAACAGACUUUCAGGUGAACCUCUUCACUUAUCACUUCGGGGGUCACCUCUGUUUCUAAAGACUUGUUUUCCUUUAAAAAAAGAUUGCUUAGGACAUUUAACGGUGUGGCGUUGUGAUAACAGAGCCCAGCAAGGCUUUCGUUUGCUGCCUGGGCUUCUGCAGAGAUACAGAGGCUCCUAAUGCCGCAACCCCAGAAUUUGUUUCUAAAAUUACCUCAUGAACUGAAUCACCAAAAGUUGAAAAAUAUAAAAUUCUCUCUGAGGGGUUUUUCCUGUCCUUCCCCUUGUGUGGGCAUGCCAGUCUGGCUCUGCCAGACAGGAGGAGAGGUGGCAUACAGAGAUUUGGAUGGUCCCAACAGGGUAAGCAAAUGGCGAAUGGGUCCUUGUACUAACGGAUUCUCCUCGCCAAAAAUCUAGGCUGAGCUGGGCCACAGCUGCUACUGAGCUCUGGAGUCUGCAGCUGCCGCAGCCAGCAGUUGCUUUGGGGGAAAACUCAGAGCGGCUGCUCCAUCCUUGGCUCUGGGUCUGGGGUCAGGGGCCAUCCACCUCCACCCCACCCUUCCCCCGUUGCUCCCCCACACAGCCCAUUUGGGAUGAGACUGUUGUCAAGAGGGCCAGAAGCAGAGAGGGGAAAGGGGGAAAAGCGUGAUGAAAUGGUUGUGAGGUAAUUUCUUUUGAAACAGGGCACUUGGCACAUACAGAGCCAGGCGCACAGACGGGCGCACAGAUUUGUUUAGCAAACAAUAACCUGUGUUUUGUGCAUGAAUAAAUAAUUAAUCUUAUUUAAAAGAAGAAAAAA